CUGCUGGUCGAAUAUGAAUGUUUUAGUUAAUUGAAGAAUAUAUGUUGUAGGGUGACCAUAUUCUGAAUCCCCUAAAGAGGACACGACUACACGGGGGCGGAGUCAUGGAGUUGCGAUUAGUAAAUUUUGAGAGUUUUUCGGAUCGGUUAAAGUGUUUUUUACGUGCUUCUAACUAAGUUCGUCCACAUGAAACAAACUCAAAACUUCCAUCCAAACACCCGGACAUUUGAAGGAUUUUAUAAAGUCCCCGGACAAGGCCGGACAGCCCCCCAAAAAAGAGGACAUGUCCGGGUAAAAGAGAAUGUAUGGUCACCCUUUGAUAACAUAACAAGCCCGCUGAAACAUGGAAGUUAAACAGAAAUGUGUAAGCUGCAGUUGUUUUGGGGUCUCAAAUGUCAGCGUAUCACUUUUGUAACCAGCUGUCUUUACUCACUUCUUCCUCUGUGGAGGCUCUAUGCGUCAGAGAUGAUGGCCUGUAAACAUUGCGCAUUUCCAUGUAAACAUUUAAGUGUCUGUUGUUAACACAAUACCCCUGAAUAAAUACAAACAAAGUGAAUAAGUUGCUUCUGAAACAAUUAAGGGAAUAGGCCUGUAAGUAGAGGUAAAAAAUCCAAACAUGGCCAACUUAUGUAGAAAUCCUGCCUCUAAUCAAUUUCUUAAAGUAUCCAGUCUUUCAUUUAAGUGUUGAGUAUCAUGAUCUAAACUUGGCAUCUUGAAGUCAACAUUUUGGUACCAUGACAACUCUACUGGAAAGGUGACCAUUAAUGAAACCAGAGAGAGCUUCACAUUUGUAGAGAAAUGACACAUUGCUGAACAUCAAAGCCUGUACACUGGAAACCAAUUAAACAAACUCUAUUUCUAAGCAUGACUGAAAACUCUAGGGGAGCAUGUAAACCCUUCUCCAUUAAAAAGCAAAGAAACCCGCUCUAAAUCCCUUUCAGCACAUGCACAGGUACUGUGUCAAUCCAUCUGAUCGAUCACUGGAGAUGUGAGACAAAGCCUAAUCCCAUCUUCUCCCCUGACAUCGACCUCCAGCCCCUGAUUUGAUCCUGUUUCCAGGAUGAGCCUGAUUCCUGGGCUACUGACACACAAACCGUUUACAUCCCUGGAAAAACUCAUCCGGACACAUCCAGCUACAAUGGCGUCACGCUCGGAUUGGCUCUGUGAGCACUGUCAUGGCCUUUUGAGCACGAAGAGGGGGCUUUGGGUGGCAUGGGCUGUGAAAUAACAAAAAGAGGAGGAGGAGAAUAAAUACACUCAGUGGUGUGUUUACUGUCUGUUUAGCACUCUAACACGAUCCAGUUUGCUUUAAGCGAUAAGCAGCUGCGAUCAACAAUAACACCAAUCAGAACUGCAACGAACAGGGGAAACAUUUGUCAUCACUUUGCAGAUCUUCACACUGAUUUGUGCGGCUGGUUUCAUGUGAUUGCUCCAUUGUCUUCCUCCCUCUGCAGACAGAAGAUGAAGUCUAUAAUCGUACCUGGAGGCUAAAACGUUGUGUGUGUCUGCUGAACUCAACAAUCAUCCCUUUUAAGUCAAAAAAGCCGACCGCCCCCUUUUCCAGCAGACACUUCAGAAAAGCAAACAAUCGGGUCCAGGAAUAGCAGCCUUAUUGUUGCGUCCCUACCAUUUUCAUAAGGGCUCUCCACUCUUCAGGCCCUCCUCCCUGGGUUUCAAUCCAGACCUGAAUGAGGCCCAGACAAAGAGGAGCUGUCAGUGGUCCUCUAGACGAGGUGGAUUAAGCAGAGAAAUGAAGACCUGUCGUAGACUUCAGCCAAAUAGACUCCCUGUUUCUAAGCUGCAGUGGCAAGGAGCCACAUUUCUUUCAUGACGGCCUUUUAAUGAGCUCUAAUUAAAUAUCCGUGGGCUCAGCAUUUGUGCGGGGGUAAGUGGUGCAUCGCUGGCCACCUAAGACCAGAAUAACAAGAAAGUGGAGAGCUAAACUCUCAAGGGAUAACCUGCUGGAGCCACCCUGUCUUUCUCUGCGUGACUUAAACCAGUGCUGGACUGGAAAUAGAAACAGUUUGCAUGAGAGGCUCAAUAUGACGAUGGGUACAAGCCAAACAGAACUGAUUAUUUUAGCUCUGUAUCUUAGAGGGGAAAAAAAAAAGAUCUAGAUGAACAAAAAGAUUGAAUAAAUGUCUUCACCUCACCACCAAUAAAACUGCCUCAUGUAAACACUUCAAUCAAAGGAGACUGGUCCGAUCCGGCCUGUUCAAAAAGGAAUUUCAUUCUGGUUCAAAGUUGCGGUGUGUGUUGUUUGUUGAGCCAAGAGUUUGGCUUUCUGGGUGGGCAAACAAAACUAGUCUGUGACCGGCACAACUUUUUUUUUCUGGAGCCUUUGAAAGAACUCGGUAUUGUCGAAUGUCUCAGCGGUCAAAAUAAAAGAUAUUAAAAACAGACAUCCAUUAUUGUAGAUGUGACACAGCAGGAGAAUGAACUCUCUGGUGCACAGAAAGGGGAUCGAGUGAAGAAGCAAAAUGUAGAAGCACACAGCGAUGGUUACGAUAUACUUGUUUACACAUUAUGUACACUGACGUAGCAACAAUGGUUAUUAAAUGGAUUUAUUUUGAUUUCAUACUUAAUGCUUGUACAUUCACCUCAAAUAAAUUUCUAUCAAUUUCUGGUAUCCGUAUGUCAUUGAACAUGGAAAAAAAGAAUAUGUGAGAGCUUAAGACUACAUUCACACAUGCCCGGCUAUUUUCAUAAACGGACAUUUCAUCCUCUCCGUGCAUGCACACCACUACGUUUUCAGAAAAGUUUUCGUUUACACUAACCCGUGUGUAUAUGCCAUCAAGAGCAACCAGUAGGUGGCGGUGUAGCGAGAAGCUCAAGCCCAUGUUAGCCAAUCAGAAUCCCUCACAGCAGCAACAACAAUGUCACUUCCUUCUUUCCAGCAUACAAAAUCUCUAUUUGUCUCUGUUUACAUGCAAACGUGCAAACAGAGUUUUCCAAAAUCUUCACUCUGGCCGGAGUUUUUCAAAAGCAUCAUUUUUAGGGGCGAAUUCUCUGUUUGCGUCUAAACCAAGGGUGCAAACAGUGGUUAAUUUCUCAGUUUUUAAAAAUAUAUUUUUUUUUUAUACAGGUAAUCAAAGGCACUGUAAGUAGUUUUUUAGUUGGUUUAGAGACAGACUGAAACUGACCCUGAUGCCUCUUUGUAACCUUCAAAAGCAAACGAGACCUUCAGCAACACAGCUGACGUAAUUUCUAAUGCCUGAAGCUGCUUUAAGGAGGUGGCUGUCAGACACGAUUGUUCACAACAUGCAGAACAAAAAGACUUUUUUCUCCAAAUACUCUGUGAGUGAUAAGGACAAGAGACAGGGGGUAUCAUUUUGUCCACAGGGGGCGCCAGAACCAAGGGAAACCAAAAACAAAAGUCACACCAUAGGGACACAGAAAUUGCUUAAAUCUGCUUUGAGGUGAAUCUCCUCAAAAGAGUACAAGUAACUGUCCAGUCCUGAUUCCUGCCAACAGGGACUUAAGAGCCUCUUUCCAAACUUUGCCGGUCAUAUUUUGGGUCCAAAACCUACAGCUGUAUCUCAUAAAAUAGAGAAACACUGUUUUCAACUUGGCAACGGUGGAGGAGGCUUCUUGACAGCUGGUUUCCAGAAUGCUUGGGUGGUCCUUAAAGAGGCGGUAGCUCUAAAGGAAGCAAUCUGAGUUGUAAAUAAAGCUACAACAAGACAGAAGAGCAAUACAAAGUCUAAACAUCAAAAUAAGAUUUGAAACGUGGAGCUAAACAAUUUUUUUUAACUUGAACCUAAACUGAGAACAGCCGAUCUUUCCCACCAUCGUAGUCAAAACUUAAAACGUUUACUGAUAGUUACAUCAAAUAUAUAAUAAGUCAACAAGUAAAGAAGUUAAGUGCAUGCCAGUGAGAUGCAGUCACUCCCAAAACUUAAUUUACUUCGGUGUUCUUUCCCAAAUUAAGGCAUGAAAUUGGAAACCAAAAUGUGAAGGCAUGCGUGCUGUUUCCCCUAAACUAAUUUUGCAACUAGAACCCUGGGAAGGAUCACGAUGUCCAACAUGUACGUGUAGAAUAACAGGGAAACAAAACCCAGCUGUAAUGUAAUUUACUGCCCUUUAUCUGUAAUGCAGACCACUGAGAAUUGUGGGAGGAAGAGUUUCUGUGUUACAGUAAAAGUGAAGGCCCCGAAAAGUCUCGCUGCGGAGCUUCCGAUUCAUCAUUUUGUGUCACAUUCCUGUGCACAAUCCGUGUGAGCACCUUCCAGCUAGUGUGAUUCCUUCCGCCUGGCUGUGUUUUAUUCAUGGCUGCCUCUCUCUGCACCAUUAAGCAGCUGAGGCACCUCUGUACCAGGGGGAUGCAUGGAGUAUUACAUUUAGAAAGCAGUUACUACCCAUACUGCUAAAAGGAGAUAUAUCACAUUGCUGGAGGAGCUGGAUUAUAAAUAGUUUACGGUAUAAUUGAUACAAAGGACUUAUAGAGAAGAUAUGUUCUUUGUUACAGUGCAACAGUGUCUUUUAUCAUUUUGCUUCAUGAUUCACCAAAUAUUCUCAAUAUGUGACCAGCAGGGACUUCAGGCAGGCUAGUUUAGCACCUGUUUAGCAUGCUGUUUUAUAAGUGCAGAACGUGGUUUGGUUUGUCUCGCUGUAAUAUGCGAGGUCGUCUUCGAAAGGAGCAUUACCCUGGUGACAGCAUAUGUUGCCCCAAAGUCAGAACUCAAGCAUCCCCGCACCAUCAUGGCUGCUAUAGCUUCAGAACUGUGCAUACAUAAAGUCCUUCUUUACAACAGAGGAUGCAGAAUCUAUUAUUUCCAAAAGUAAUGUCAAACUUCGAUUAAUCAGGCUGCAGGACACUUUCCUCCUCCACCCAAGUCCAUCUUGAAUAAGCUCAGAUAUUUCUGGAUCAAGUUUACAUACGGGGUCUCCGCAGGUUUCAACAAGUCAAAUUUAAGACUUUUUAAAGACUGUAAUUAAAACAGAUUAAAAAGUACAAAAGACAUGAAGGGAAACCAGAACAUUUAACAUGACUUCAAAUCAAUCUUUAUUCCUAUGGCAUUUCUUUGUAAGUAGAGUUAAUAUAUUUUUUAGUCCUUUCAAAAUCGUACGUAAGAAGUUUUAUGAGAUUUUAAGAGAAUUUUAGACAUUUUAAGACCUGUGUAAACCCUGUACAUAUGAUUUUCAUAGUUUUUGGUUGUGAUUUUAAGAGAAAGCAGUGAUUUCUACUACAGAGCCAUGCUUUUUUUUAAUGCAGCGCAACCAAAAGCACAAAUAUUACAGCUAAUUAGUAUUAUUUUUUUAAAUCUUGUCCUAAAUCUGGAAUUGUUGAACCAUAUGCUCACAUGGAGGUGAACCUCUUCCCAUCUUUCCCUCUAAAAGCCUCUCUGGAGGCGCAGCCAUCUCCCUAAUCUGAUGUAAAUCAACCUCAUUAACUAUCUAGUGUUUUGUUGUCUCUGCCCUAACGUUUCAGCACAUGUUGCUGGAUUCAAAUUUAUAGUUAUCCUGAAUAAUUUUCAUAAAACAAAUCUGAUUUUAUUAACAUUUUGCCCUGCACUCUAACCUUCAUGGAUUAGGGCCCUUGAGAUUGGGACUGAUGUUAAACAAAGCAUCCAUGAGAGGGGGCUUCGGUUUUAAACGGACCUCCACUUCUCCUUCACUGACAUUCAGUUUCAGUGUGAGCUCUGCUGCUCUGUCAUAGUUUUCUCUCCCUGUAGGUUACAUUACUUUAUAUAUGACUAUAGUCUCUUCCCGUCCUGCACAAUCUUUGCUUAUUUUCUCAAGUAUUCCUCUUUGUUUUGUUUUGCUGGACUAGCUCCAACUGUUAACUACUCGCCUAUAUGAGUAUGCAUACAGUUUGUAGAGCUUAAAUGAGCUCUUAUUCGGUGAGGGAAAUAGUUGCCUGUGAUCUUCUGUGACUCUCCAGGAGUUAAAAUCCUGAGGUGUCUUCAUAAAGGGUAUUUGAUGAAUACAGCUGAAACAUAAAGCCUGUGUUAUAAACUUGUGUUAUAGUGACUGACACUUCUUCAAUAUGAAUCAAAACAACUUAAGCGCCCGCUUAUCAAGGCUGCCUCUGGCGACUCUCGCAACUUUUAAAUUGAGUACUAUAUUAUGACUGUAGUACUCCUUUGAAAUAAUUUCCAAGUUUCAGGCUCCCUUCUGUCAAACGUCCUCUUGUCAAAAAGAAAUCUGCCAUAAAUUGGCAGCUUGAAAUGCUGCUCUUUGAGAAACUGUAAGUGCAGGGAGUUUUUGUGCAAUGUGUCACAAUAUUGCCUUCUCCGUCUAUUACGCUUUGCCUUUUCCACAGAGCUGCAAUCUAAAACUACUUACCCGCACAAAAACUUCUCAUAGUCUAGCCAGUGAAGUAAAUCAGUCGCUGAGAUUAUUUCUGCUUGAGCAGCUGAGAAAUGUUCCUAAUUCUAAACUCCACUAAAUGAGCAUUUGGCUCACAAUCUGUGGCUUACAGCUGCUGACUUUUCCCAUGAAUCUCCCUCUAAGUACUUGUACUGUUGGAGUUAUAUUUCUGUUAAUGUUCUAUCGCAUUAUUGUUUAUGGGAUGUUUUGAUUCCCUCUGCUGAUACGUGGAGGAGGAGAAGUGGAGAAAAGGCAAAAAAUAGAUUUAAUAGGGAGAGAAUAAAGGAGAAACAAGGGGCAGAGAGAGAGAGAGAGAGAAAGACAGAGGGAAAAAAAGACGCCUGCACAACUUGCACAGCUGAAGAUCUGUCUCAUGACUGAAACAUUCAGGGGGAUCAAACAUGCCCACACUGCAGGGAUUCCUUUCCCAGAAAAAUCUUGCAGCUUCAGCAGUGUGAGAGGCAUGCAUCAAUAGAGCAUUGUAUCAGCGUGUUGUGAUCAUAUUGUGCUGCCUCAUGGAGCCGCACUAAUCAUACUGGGGAAUAACGGGAGAAGUGGUAAAACAAUACCGUUGAUUCUCAGCGUAGUGGUGGAGUAUAAUGAACCUCUGCAUACCAUGAAACUCUAAGUACAUACAAGCAAAAACAAAGGAGGUUGCUCUUCUUAUAGAUGGAGGCUACAAUCCUCCUCUUGUUCCCGUUGCUCUCAGCUGGCGUGACUCAUAUCGAAUGAAACAUUUAUUAACAGCCUAAAGAGUGCCUAAAAGUGCAAAUACCAUGGUAAACAGAAAAAGCCUGUUGUGACGAGUUAUCGCCUUAUUUAAGAUAUCCAAAUAAGGGAUUUUACGUUGUAAAGACAGGAAAUUGUGUCUCGUUCAUUUAGAGUCGCAGCAUUUCAGAACAUUUCAGUUUUAGGGAGCGUUGUCUAACAGUUAAGUCAUGUACAGACUGAAAAGUCAAGGUUUCAGCAAUAUCAGCCACUGGAAACACACAGAUUUUUAGUGUUGAUGUUAUACAGGGAUAAGAAGUGAUUAGAUUUCUAAAAAUUGUUCGUCUGCCUCCUUAACGAUUCUGCUUAUCGGUUUCCUUUACAUAUCUAUGCGAGAAGUGUGUUUUGGUUCAGGAGUUUUCAGCAUGGCGUCAGGGCAAAAGCACUCCAGAGUUUGACUGUAUUUGACUUAAAAAGGUGAUACCAGGGCUACUUGCAACACUUGUAUUAAUGUUGUCAAAGGGGGGAAAUAUUUGUCCACCCAGCAUGCAAUUACUUUGCAGCGGUGGAACGUGUUUGAUACGCUACUUAGCCAAGGUGAGACUGGUACAGGCAAAAGCAGGAGCAGAGCUAACGUCUCGGCAUCAUCUGCUUUAAAUGCUGAAGGUAACGUUCAACUCCUCCACGUCUUGUCUGUUGUGUAGAUGUUAUCGCCACGUUAGCUCCCUUUCACUGUAUUAAUGCUCUCCAUCUCCUUAAAUUACAUUUAGAUAACGACGACUGCGAGAGUCAUACUAGCUCAGAGGCUAGCUCUCACACUGGUUCUGAGCCUGCAGCGGGUGGCACUCGCACACCUUUCGCUGCCCCUGUCAUCGAGGCAGGGGAGAGUAAGAUGACAGAGGUGAAGAUAAAUGAAUGUAACACAGCUGAGAAAAACACUUUAAAACUAAAAGGUCAAUCGAUUACAACCUGUGAGUCAUCUCUGCCUGUUGACGCUGUGGCAAAAACUUUAGCCUCGGUUCGCUUCUCAAUCAGUAAACAUGGCAAAUUUAGUUUUUAUUGAGGUUUGGGAAUAAUGAUAGUUAGAGGGCACAGACAAGAAGAACCUGAGAAGCUAGUAGGCCCUACAAAUUUCAUUAAUUUAUAUAAUUUUCGUAAAGACUAAAAAGCAGUGGUCCUAGCACAGACCCUUGGGGAACUCCUGCAACAGAGCUGAAGGAGCAGUCUUCUGUCUUUUAUGAUCAAUUUUACGGGGACAGAAAGACUACUUAUUUAAAAAAAAAAGAGCACCAAUCUGAAAUCAGCUGUUGUUGCAUAAGAUGAGAAGACCUACAGUUUGUCUCCCAGGGCCUGUCUGCCUCACUUUACAUUAAAUAUACACCGAACAGCAGAGUACCCAGGGGACGCUGCUGCCACUGUCAAACAGAUAUAACCUCCUGUUCAUCAAAGAAAUGAUGUUUGACUUGCUGCAAUGUCAUUUCUUUUCUUGUCUGCUUCUCCAUACAAGGAAUAUUAAGAUCAACACAACAAACAGCUCUGUGCAUCAAGAUAGUUAAUGUGUGUAUCCCUCGUUACACUUAACAAACUUAAAACUGACAAAGACAAGUUUCAAUGUGGGAGGGAAAAAAAGCAGUUUUCGUUUAGGGUUCAUCCUCUUCCCGGUGUAAGAUUCAUCGAGGCUGGGAGCUUGUACAGUAUCUAAAACAAUCCUGGGACAGCAAGACAGAGAGUGCACUCCUGCUGUUGCUAACACUGGCCAGAAACUGGAAUGCGGCGAAGGUCAGAUUCCAUUAGAGCCGUGUUAUACAAGCUGAGGUAGGUGGGAGGGCACAGAGGAGGGCUUUCACUCGCUUGCCUUGCCGACUUCAGAAGCACCACAAAUUCCUCAAGGGUAUUUAUCUGUAGCCAGGUGAUUUCCAGAGCCCAACAUCAUCAGAUUGAGCUAUGAAGGAAAGGAAAGGAAAGGAAAGGAAAGGAAGGGCAUGUAGCCUGGGGAAGGAGAGGAAAGGAUGAAAGGAGGGAAGGAUGAAUGUAAGAGAACAGUUUAUCUGCUCUUAGAUGAUCCCCAGUUUAAAGUUGAAGGGAAGGAAAUGCUCCUGUUUACUGUUGUUGGUUUGAAGGGGGCCUGAGGGGGUUAAUAUCUAUGGAAGUUAGAAAAAAGAAGUGUUUUUGUACUCAGGUGAUGUGGGAGGGGAAAAAAAGAAACCGUUUAUAUGUUUCAAGGUUAUGUUUUCACUUAUGCUUAUUCCCUGUUUGGCCCUGAGAUAAAUUCUAAAGGUUUGUUACUCAGAAAUACACACAGGUAGCUGUUCACUUUCAAAGAAAAUAACCUUAUUCAAAUGUAUCAAUAUGAAAACCCACGUUUAAAGUGUGAAAAAGAAGAAGAAGAAGAAGCUACAGCGGUGAUAAAGACAAGAAGAAGAAGCAUGGUCACAUUUCACUCAGUUUCUGCAAAUAUAUAAACUUUUACUGAAUUCUGCAGAAAUGAAUCCAAGUAUCUUUUUUAGAUAGACAGUGUGCAAAGUUGUCGAGAGAGAGAGAGAGAGAGAGAGAGGAAGGAAAGGAAAGAAAAGUGUAAAUCGGGGGCAAAUGUAAAAUAAGAAAGAAGAUAAGACAUGGCAAGAAGAGAUGGGUAAGGGGUGAGAGCAGAUGAAACGAAAGGAAGAAAGGGGAGGGAAAGGAAAAAGAAAAGGAAAGGAAGGGAAAGGAAAGAAGAGCAAAGGAAAGGAAAGAAAAGGUAAGGAAAAGAAAGUUUGGAAAAGGAAAGGACAUGGAAGAAAAGGAAGGGUAAGGUAAGAAAAGGGAAAGGCAAGGCAAGUUAUGGAAAGGAAGGAAAAGAGAGGACAGAAAAGGAAAGGAAAGGACAGGAGGGGAAGGUAAAGAAGAGCAAAGGAAAGGAAAGAAGAACGUAGAAAGAAAUGGUUAGGAAAAGAAAGGUAAGAAAGGGAAAGGAAAGAAAAGGAAGGGUAAGGUAAGAAAAGGGAAAGGCAAGGAAAGAUCAGAAAGAAAAAGAAACGACUUAAAAGAAAAGGAAAAGAAGGAUGGGCAAGCAAAGAGCAAAGGAAAGAAAAAAGGUAAGAAAAGGAAAGGACAGGAAAGCAAAGAAGAGCAAAGGAAAGGAUAGGAAAAGAAAGGGAAGAAAAGGAAAGGAAAGGACAGGAGGGGAAAGGAAAGAAGAGCAAAGGAAAGGAGAGAAGAGGUUAGGAAAGGAAAGGAAAGGACAGGAGGGGAAAGGAAAUCAGAGCAAAGGAAAGGAGAGAAGAGGUUAGGAAAUGAAAGGUAAGAAAAGGAAAGGAAAGGAAGGAAAGGACAGGAAAGCAAAGAAGAGUAAAGUAAAUGAUAGGAAAGAAGGGAUAAGUACAAGGAACAAAAAGUAGUUACGAAAUGAAAGGAAAGGAGAAAAAAAGGAGAAGCAAAUGGGAGGGAAAGGACAGCUAUAACACAGAAAUUGUAACUGUUGAACGUGAACUUUGGUCUGAACACCUAAGAAAUGUGAAGCUGCAUUGACUGAACUAGGAAGUCUGAACUAGGAGGAGAAGAAAGGAAGGACGCUAGGAAAUGAGAGCACAAUAAUAUUCCCAGUAAACCAUAAUGCAUUUCAACCCCAUCAUAAACCUCAACCUGACCCCAGCUCACAAACACACACCCUCUGACACACACACACAAACACACACUCUUUCAGUGUGUAUCCCACAUCAGUGCGGUCCUUGUGUCAGAGGAUACAAUGCUAUCUCUGAUGUCUAAUCCACAGCAGCGCGGGGAUACUGUGAGGCUCAUGACACAAAUUGAACAUUUCUACACGGCGAGCCCGAGUGCAAGGACCAGACUUAGCCUAUCAGAAAUCUAAAUGACGUGUCCUUUGUGCCAAUUCCUGUGUAAGUUCAGGAAAUGGAACACAGGAUUGUGGGAGACAUCUAUUUUAUGUUCUAAACCCUUCAAUAAAACUCAGGCUCCUUUUAUCCCCCCCACCGUCCAAACCUCUGUGAUAACAAAGGAGCGUCUCUGUUUGUGGAGCCGACUGUGCCUCCAGUUUGAUGCAUUGAGACAUUAGCAUUUAGAUAACCCCUCUGAAUAUGGGACGUGAGGGAAUUGAAAACAGGAACCGAAUAAAUACUCUGAAUAAUCAGAAGUUACAUUUUGAAUUAACAUAACUUUGUUUUUUUUAUCCUUUAAAAUAGGAAAAGACCAGAAACAACAACUGAAACAUCUGGUUUGUUUUUCCUCUCAUGCCGCUCUGCUUUCAGACCAAACAGAUAGAAAACAGAACUACAGGGAGCGCAAAUAAAAACAGUGGGUGUUUCAUAAAACUAUGGGAUGCUUUGGGCUCAGGUUUACUUUAUGAAACCACAGAUGAUUGUCAGUCAUGAGUCAGAAACAGUCCAGUAGUUUGUACAAAUGAAAUAAAGGUCCCUUUUUUAAACAAGGACAUGGUGAGUGCAUGCUUCCAGCUCUAAACAGACAUAACCUUGCGGUGCAUUCUUGCAGCAUAUGCAAACUGGGAUCACAUUUUAUUAUAUUUCUGCAACCC